rnacentral:piRNA from 1 species
UCUCAUAGUUUGAGAAACUCAUGUCAUC